UCUGCGCGGAUUCGAGGGGACCAAGUCAGGGCAGGAAAAAAAAAAAAAAAAGGCAGAGAAAAGUGGGCUCUUUAAGGUCUCGCUCGUUCGCCCGCUUCCUAGCUGUACUCUUGCUCUGUCCCUCUCUCUUUCUCCCUCUUGCACACCAGCGCUCUCUCUCUCUCUCUCUCUCUCUCUCUCUCUCUCUCUCUCUCUCUCUCACACACACACACACACACACACACACACGCACGCACAAUGGAAGGAGCCCGGGUCUAGACCACCCCGAGUCCCCAACGCCCAGACUUGUCCGCCAGCACUGGGCACGCGCGCCUAUAAUCCAUCAGUCCACCACAGAAUGGCCCCGCGUUCUGCAGCAGCGAAGGCGAGAGCCGGAUCCUUGGCGUGAGAGUUCACGAUUCAAAGUUGAGUCGGGGUGCGCGCGCGCGCGCGCGCGCGUGCGUGUGUGUUCCUUAAUCCGUUUGCGGGUGGUGUGCGUGUGUGCGCGUUAGUCCCCACCUCGCACGCUCUUUCUCUCUCCCUCCCUCCCUCCCUCCCUCCCUCCCUCCUUUUACUGCUGCACGUGAGUUCCUAAAUGAGAGAGAGGGAAGGAGGGAGGGAGAGAAAGAGAGAGAGGGAGAGGAAGCUGCUGCCUGCUUUCCUUAAGACUCCUAAUAGCAGAUAUUCAUGACUAUUAAUACUACACGAAUACUUAAUAAGGGAAGAAUGGCUGGAAAUCGAGCGUGAAGCGAGGAAGCAACUCAAGGCAGAGGCUGUUCUAAAUGACGUCCAUUGAAUGAAGAAUCAGUGUAUCUAAUCAGAGGUGGGGGGAGCGAGCGAGCGAGCGAGAGAGAGAAAGGGGACGGGGGGGGGAGUCAUGCCGUUGCUGCGUCUGACGAAUCACAGGAAAGGGGCAACAUUUUAAAAGGUUGCAGGGCAGGCAGAAGUGAAAGAGAAAGAGAGCCAGGGAGAGCAAACGGGUGGGAUCGAGGCAAGCCAAGGCAGGCACGCAAGCAGGCCUCGGCACAACUCCUGGGGCACACGCCUCACCCGAGGCAUGAGGGAAAAAAGGAAAAAUAAAAAUAAAGCCUUGGUCGUCGCCAGCUGCUUGCCCUCCGCCGCCUUCCGCUGCUGCUGUCGAGGUUACCUCAGCAAAAAAAAAAAGAAAAAAGAAAGGGGCGCUGCCCAGCAGCCGAAAGAACCGGAAGUCAAAUGAAGACUUUAAAAAAAAAAAAAAAAACCAUAAAUAAAUCCGGCAACUGACAGAAAAACCGAAAAGUGGAGGCACGUAAAGGACUGCAGCCCGAGGCCAAGCGCGUUUAGCGAAAAGGUGGAAGCCAAUCAAAACACUCGCGAGUUCCCCAAAAGCUGCCCUGAGGCCCGACUUUAAAUAAAUAAAUAAAUACAUACAUACAACCGAA